rnacentral:rRNA from 1 species
AGAGUUUGAUCAUGGCUCAGAGCAAACGCUGGCGGCGUGCCUAAUACAUGCAAGUCGAACGGGGAAAGCUUUCGGGUGAGUACUAGUGGCGAACGGGAGAGGAACACGUGGGUAAUCUACCCUCAAGAGAAGAAUAACCAGUCGAAAGAUUGGCUAAUACUUCGUAAGACCACAGUAACUAAUGUUACAGGGGUAAAAGGAGUAAUCCGCUUGAGGAUGAGCCUGCGUCCGAUUAGCUAGUUGGUGAGGUAAUGGCUUACCAAGGCGACGAUCGGUAGCUGGUCUGAGAGGAUGACCAGCCUCACUGGAACUGAUACACGGUCCAGACUCCUACGGGAGGCAGCAGUAGGGAAUAUUGCACAAUGGAGGAAACUCUGAUGCAGCGACGCCGCGUGGGUGAUGACGGACUUCGGUUUGUAAAGCCCUUUUGUCAGGGAAUAAAAAAAUGAAGGUACCUGACGAAUAAGCACCGGCUAACUUCGUGCCAGCAGCCGCGGUAAUACGAAGGGUGCAAGCGUUGCUCGGAAUUAUUGGGCGUAAAGCGAGCGCGGGUGGUCUCAUAAGUCAGAAGUGAAAGCCCUGGGCUUAACCCAGGAAGUGCUUUUGAUACUGUGAGACUUGAAUGUGGGAGAGGGUGCUAGAAUACCUAGUGUAGUGGUGAAAUACGUAGAUAUUAGGUGGAACACCGGUGGGGAAGCCGGGUGCCUGGCCCAACAUUGACACUUAGGCUCGAAAGCGUGGGGAUCAAACAGGAUUAGAUACCCUAGUAGUCC